CCUACGGGUGGCUGCAGUGAGGAAUAUUGGUCAAUGGGCGGGAGUCUGAACCAGCCAAGUAGCGUACAGGAUGACUGCCCUAUGGGUUGUAAACUGCUUUUAUAUGGGAAUAAAGUGUUCCACGUGUGGGAUUUUGUAUGUACCGUAUGAAUAAGGAUCGGCUAACUCCGUGCCAGCAGCCGCGGUAAUACGGAGGGUCCGAGCGUUAUCCGGAUUUAUUGGGUUUAAGGGGAGCGUAGGGGGAUUGUUAAGUGAGUUGUGAAAGGUUGGGGCUCAACCGUAACAUUGCAGUUGAAACUGGCAGUCUUGAGUACACGAAAGGUGGGCGGAAGUCGUGGUGGAGCGGUGAAAUGCUUAGAUAUGACGAAGAACUCCGAUUGCGAAGGCAGUUCGCUGCACCGGAACUGACACUGAGGCUCGAAAGUGCGGGUAUCAAACAGGAUUAGAUACCCGAGUAGUC
rnacentral:rRNA from 1 species